CAAAAAUAUCCACCUUGUCUCCUGAUCCUAAAUUUGACACUAUGUCAGGCCAAUCUUCAUCAUUAAAGGAAAUUACCGAGCCAUGGUUGUGUAUUUGGCAUGUGCAAUUCGUGUAAUUAACAAUUAAGACAGUACUAAGUUUAGGUUCAAUAAUUUCCGAGCUUGAUAAAUAAACAACACACAAAGUCAUUCCCUUUACGACACGAUCUUGUGGCACAGUGAAAGAAACAGAAUGUCCAUCACCCUUAUGGGCCAACCAAUAAGGAUCAUUGUCACCUGGGAGAGAAACAUCACAUGACUCACUGCUUGCAAAUUCCUGUAUCAUGUCAUAAACAAGGGCAUGUUUAGUUAAACAAAAAUGUUAUACAUGAUUAAAACAAAUCUGGUUAAUAGUUUUGUUGUGUAUACAUCCCCAGCUUUUCUUUAGUGAUUUAGUGUGUUUUUGUCUCUUAGUUUAUAUUUCUACGUACGAUCAAUGGGAAUCAAGCAAUCAUGAAGCUAGUAAAGCAAGAAAGUGAGAUCUAUUUGGUAGUAUAAGCAUAAUGACUUGUUAGUUGAUUACUAAAACCAGAUAUUUUUAGAUGAAGUCGUGGUGCUAAAAGUUCAGUAUUGUAGUUUCUACAAGAUACUUAAUUAUGAUUAUUUUAAGUUCUCUCAAAUAAUAGCUAAAAUGAUGGUGAAGGUAAUAAACAAAGGGAAAGCAAGGGAAGAACCUUAGGUAUGAUAUCGCUCACAGUAUUGAGGAAUUCUCUGUAUCUUCCAACACCAGUCAGAGCAUACCUUAGGUGAUGCUUUGAAAGCACUGAUUCUCUAACAUUUGCACCAUAUUCGGCCACUAUGGUUUUUACUUGCUCAGAUAGUUGAAACUCGGCAUCGCAUUGCACUGAAACACUUCGAAGAUUUGUGAGGCUGCUAAGCAAUGGUGAUAUUUCAUCCCAAUUAUUAUCUUCCAUAUGCAUAAAGGAAUGAAUAUAAGAUAGGGGAUUCAUUGUUGGCGACAUCCGAGACCGAAUGAUAGAAGGAAAAAGAUUAUGUGAAAAUCCCUCAAAUCCACGUAGGAAUAUAUAUCCAAUACUUUUUGGGCUUACAAUUGUAAAAAGCAAUUGUUUCAUAACUCUAUUUUCAGCAAUUAUAGUUAUCAGGGAUUUCAUUCGCACUAUAUCUUUUUCCAUUAGGUCCAUCUUCGAACAACCAGAUAGAAUCAGAGUUUUUAAGGAUUUCAACUUAUAUAUCUUUCUGGGAAGAUUGCUUAGAUUUGUACAGUCCUGCAAAUUUAGCAGUAAAAGAUUGCAGAGCCAUCCAAUAGAAGGGUGUACUUGUCUCAAUCUUGGACAAUCUUUGAGAAUGAGCUGUUCAAGACUUGGUGUUCGAUAAAAGACAGGGGUUUCUAUUAAAUACUUGGAGUGACUAAGAUCAAGGACUUUUAGCCACGUCAAAACCUUUAAGAACAUAGUUUUUGGUAUAUUAGAGAAGAAAACGACAAAACUAAAUAGUUAUAAGUAGAAACAAAUAAUAAUUUUAAAAGAGAAUGGCACGUGAUAAAAACCUGGGAUCCUUUCCAAACGAAUCGAAGAAGACUGUGUUUUACAUCAAUGACUAUUGCAUCAUGCAUAUAAAAGUCGUGAGCUAGAUAUUCUGAAGAAAACCCUCGCAAACUGAUCCAUCUCAGUUUCUUAAGAAGUCUUGAUGGGUCUCUUGCCUGUGAAUGAUCGCGUCCAAAUAAAUCACUUCCAGUAGGCAAUCUCUGAAUGACUUUUGUGCCAUUAGAUGAAAAGAGCUAAGAAAAAGAAAUAUAUUGCACAUGAGAAAGCAACCACUUUCAAAAGAAGUUUCAAAAGCAUAGAUAAAGGAUGUUCUUACCGUAUUCUCUGACAGUGCAUAUUCUGCAUUAUUAUCAAACCACCACAGUUGACUGUUCUUCCAAGGUUCCUUUGUUGAACUUUGAUGAAUAAUUUCUCUUCCCAUUUCUCGUAACAAUGGAUGCAUUCUUAAUUUGUUAUUCUUAUUAAUUUGUAUGAGACUAUGCUUUAUGAGAACUCUUAUUCCACUAUCAGCGUCUAUUCCACAGCCAUUUAGGAUCUUCGUAACAUAGCUUCUGCUCUUACCAACAAAGGAACAACAUACAUCAAGAAAUAAAUCUUUUUCCAUUUGAUUGCUUAAACCGUCGAAACUUAUUUUCAAUUUCCAUAGAACAUCAAGCUGGGGAAUAUUUUCUAAUAGUAACAAUACUGAAUUCCAUUCUUCUUUGGUCCUUUCAUAUAAAUAACUUCCAAUGACUUCAAGAGCUAGAGGUAAUCCUCCACAAUAAGAAACUACUGUUUUUGCAAGGAAAUGGUAUUCUUGUUUUGGUUUUGCUUCUCGAAAUGCGUGCCAACUAAGAAGCUCAAGGGACUCGUUUGCGUUCAUUAACUUUACCUGAAGAACAGAAUCAGCUUCAUAUAUCCUCACUAGGUUGUCAGGUCUUGUUGUAAUAAUUAUUACACUUCCUCCUCCGAACCAAUGACAGCAUUCCCAUAGUAAUUGUCCAUUAAAACUCAGGCACAUCGUCAAUUACAAUGAGUACCCUUUUCCCAGAAAGUCUUUCCCGAAUCAUACUUCUUCCCAUCUCAAAGCUAUCUGUCUUCACCUUUGUUUUUAGGACAUCUGAAAGGAGUUUUUCUAGUAAACGAAGAUCCCCUCUUAUUCCGCUAAAUUGCCCAAUACCUUCAAUGAAACUUUUCUCUGUGAAUGUACCAUGAAUUUGAUGGUAGAUGGCUUUGGCAAGGGUGGUUUUGCCAGAUCCUCCCUGUCCACAUAUUGCUAUCCUACAAACUUCCGUGGAUUUAUAUUUGAUAGUUCGAAUCAGAUCCUCCACUUGGAAUUGUAAUCCAACUGGAAAUUUAGUAGCAGACAAGACUGGUAAGUGAAGAACAGUCUUAACAAUUUUGUCCACUAGUUCAGCAUCACUCCUUCAAGUUCAAUAGCAAUUAUAGAACAAGUCACGUAUUACCAAAAUUAAAUCACAAACUUAAAAUAUGCGUGAGUGAUUUACCUGUAAUUGCUCUCAUCCCAUCCAAAGAAAUUUGCAGCUUUGGUGAGUGCGUGGCUCCAUCUGGACAUGCCAUGCCUCAGUUGUUGUGGUGAGAAUGUUUGGUGUGCAGUUGCUUUGAAGGCUUUUCCAAAAUCACCCAUCUGAAGACGCACAUCAGAUGGCUGAAUUUCGUAAUAAACGGGCAGAAGAUGUCGACAAUAAGUUUCUUGCCAUCUAAUGAUUUGUUGAAGCUGAUGAAGACACCAAGAAGAUUGAGAAUAGGAUUUGGUGAAAACAACAAUUGCUACACGAGAGAGAUUGAGAAUAGGUUGUUGGAUGUGAAUUGGGUUGUCUGCAUUGGGGUGGUGAAGGAAAGUGGUGAAGCCAACAGCAGAGAGAGCAGAAUCGAGAUGAGAAACAAAUUUCCUUUGGAUGUCUUCUCCAUUAAAGUUUAUGACCACUUCGUACAUCAGUGGGAUUUUGAAUGAUGAAGAGGCCAAUUCCAUGGAAGGUCAACGAUUAGAAGAAAAGAGAACAAAAAUGCAACACAGUCAAGACAAAAAACCAUUCAAAGAAGCCAAAGAUUAAUACAUUUCUUUUUUAUAGUCGUGGAAGCUCAUGAAUUGCAGCACCCAUUUUACUUUAGAAAAAUAAUAUAUUUACAACUUGUUCUAUUAUACAACUUUCAUUUAAAAAAAUAUAUAUAUUUUCAUUAUUUUAUAAAAAACUAAAAUUUUAGACCAAAAAAAAAAGAUUAUAUACUAGAACAGGCUCUCAAUAUAUCAAUAUUAUUUACUUUAGCCAUUUAAGAAGUUAGACCAACACCCACUCUGAACCAAAAAAACGUAUUACACUAUUUUUUUCUAAUUAUAUUCUCUUUUUUUCUAAAUUUACCUAUUAACUUUACUUUUUAUUUUAGAAAGCAUUAUGUUCUCUCUCUUUUACGUUAGGCACGUAUCACUUUAAAUUUUAAAAGAAUAAAAAAUAAUACAUUUUCUUUCCACAUAUAUUUAAAGAGGCCGCUGUAAUAAUGUAAAAAAAUAGAAAGUAUAAAUACAAUUUAGAUAAACGUCACUACAUCUGAAUUUAUUUUUUAAAUAAAUAAAAUAAAAGAAUUGGACGUCAGUUUACUAAAAUUUAUGAAGUUUAUUAUCAAUUACUAAAAAUACAAAUGAGGUGAGUGUAAUUGAUUUUAUUAAGAAGACAAAGUAAAAGUAAUUUUCCCUUUUAUUUGAAUACAAAAUUAUAUGGCAUAUUUUUAUAACAUUAUUUCAAUAUCAUUAUGUUAAAUUAUUAAACACAUUUUUAUUGGAAAUAAGCUGAAAUGGAUGACAAGUUGUUUAGCUAAGUUUACAUUUUUGGUAAAGGAUUGUCGAACUUUAUGGUUGAAAUUGAGUGAUGAUCUCUACAUUCAAAUCCGUAAAUGUAACUUAUAUCAAUAAGUGUCAUUGUUAUCAGAUAUUAGGUGUGGAGUGGUGUCAUUGUUAUCGGAUAUUAGGUGUGGAGUGGUUAUUUUCCAGUACUAGAGAUAUAAUUGGUACUAGUUAAUUCUCACCGUUGUGGGUGGAUAUUAACUGUUAUAUCUUUCCCUAUACUACGUAGUAAAAAAAAAAUCUUCAUUUAUAUUCACUUGGAAUUAUAGUUUGCUGGUCUAGUAUGUCUAAACUAAAAAAAAACAUGAAAAGUUAUCUCAUUUUAACUUUUUUUUCAUCUAGUUUGCUCAUGUUAUUUAGUUAUUGUAGGGAUAUCGAUCGUGUGUGGAAGCGUGAUAAUUUCAACCAAAGAUUAUGAGAAAUUAAAGUAACAAGAAAAAGAGAAUGAUAUCAGAAAUUUUUAGGUGGAAAACCCCUUUAAAUAGAGAUAAAAAAUCAUCGGCGAGAGAGUCAAAACUUCCACUAUAAUGGUAAUAGGAGUACAAUGAAUUCCUCUCAGGCUAAUAGAUAAAUAGCCCCAAAACAAAUCCUCUCUAUAUGGGUUAAACACUUACACCCAAGAGAUGAAAUAGAGAGUAUAGGAACUGUAUGUUGUGUGUUGCUGUAUGUUGUGUGUUACAUUGCUUGAAGGAAGCCACUAUAUAUAGUGGUUCUAGGAGACAACAAUAAUAAAUUCAAUUAAUGGUAAUUAAUCUCCCAUUGAUUGCAAUUGUUUGUGGCAAUUAACCUCCUUUGAUUACAAUUAAUUGUAGUAAGUAACCUCCCAAUUAAUUGUAGUAAGUAACCAAGUAACCUCCCAUUAAUGCCAAGAUAACAAUAAAGGUGAGUCAUAACCCACAAAUCUCCACAAUAAAGAUGAAGCCUUGAUUAAGUAUGGAUAAUACCAGCUAAGUUCAGGCAAUGAUCGAACUUAGCCGAUGGAAGUGGCUUGGUCAACAUGUUUGCAGGAUUUUCGGCCGUAUGAAUUUUUUCAACAAUUAUAUCUCCCGUAUCAAUAAUGUCUUGGAUAAAAUGGUGCUUAAUUUCAAUGUGCUUGGUCCUUGAGUGAUACUUACUGUUCCUGGUCAAGUGGACAACACUCUAACUAUCACAAAAUAUAAUGGCAGAACCUAAGUCCUUCAUAUCAAAUUCACUAUUAAGCUGGGCCUUUAACUUGAUAACUAAAGAUUUAUCUCUUGCGGCAAUCAACAUGUCAUCAACAUAUAACAACAAGUAUAUAAAUGACCCAUCACAUGUCUUUUGAAAAUAGACACAAUUAUCAUAGCUACUUCUAGAGUAGCCAUGUCCAACCAUGAAAGAAUCAAACCUCUUAUACCAUUGUCUUGGUGAUUGCUUCAAGCCGUAGAGAUUUCUUCAAACGACAUACAUGGUCCUCCUUUCCAGGAACAACGAACCCCUCAGGCUGCUGGAUGUAAAUCUCUUCCUCAAGAUUACCAUGAAUUUUAUUUUAUUUUAUUUUUUUUAUCGGCAUUUUUAUUCAAGAUUACCAUGAAUAAAAACAGUUUUCACAUCUAAUUGUUCCAGCUCCAAAUCAUACAAGGCAACUAAAACAAGUAAUAUACGUAUUGAAGUAUGACGAACAACCGGAGAAAAUACUUCAUUAAAGACAAUACCUUUCUCUUGAUCAAAAACCUCUUACAACAAAUCUUGUUUUAUUCCUUGUACUCUCAAAGGGAUCCCUUCUUUUCUCUUGAAGAUCCACUUUCUGUUGGAGGCAGUGAAGCUUACUUGGUGAAGUGAAUUCUGCGUUUUUUCUCAUGGUUUCCUGUUCGUGUUUUUUUUUUUUUACGUUUCUUCUUGUAUAUCUAUUGAGUUUUGGGCCUUUCAGUUCUGUAUCUUGGGCUAAAGCCCAACCUAUUGUAUUGUGUAAUUUAUAUAUAACGUGCACCAUACAAUGUAAUAACACAUAUAGCAGUUUUAUUUUUAAGAAACAAUAUCAUCUUUGAAGGAUUAAGGCACUGCCCUUCAACACAACCACAACAUGGAGGAUUUUAGAAAAUAAAAUUGUUACAAAGGCCAAUUUGAAAAAAGAUGUAGGAUAAUUAUGAUGAGUAAUAUUUUCAGUAUAUGUGGGGAAGAAGAUGAGACAACAUGUAAUAUAUUUUUUAAGUGUAGAGUGGUUUGCCUAGUACGGGGUGGUAUGUUUUAAUACGUGUUGUGAAAUAAAAUGGGCAAUGGUUUAUUGGAUUAUGCAGGAAACAAGAAUUGGCAAUAUUUUAAAAUUAGACAUAAAAAAAUAUAAUCAUUGUAAAUAACGAGAAAUGAAAUCAAACUUUGUUUAAUUUAGUCUUUAAGGGAUGAGGCUACGGUGCUUCUUAUGUUGAAAAAUACGAGAAUUUCUGAAUGCAAUAUUAUAUGCUAAAAAGGCAAAAGAAUGGACAAAAGUAAAAACUACAAAGCAAAUACAAUAAACAGUUCAAGUAAAGCCAAGGAAGCAAGAACUGAGAAACAGGUAAAAUGAGUAUGAAUCUCAUAACUACGAGCUAUACUCAAUGAAAAACAAGGAAAGGAUCAGAAAAGAUAAAUUGCAAUGAAGGACACAAGGAUUAAACAGCAGCUGUCUUUAUAUCAUAAUGCAAUGUCUUAUUUUAAGAGGAUUCCUAUUGAAAUAUUAUAUGCUAAAAGGGAAAAUAAUUGACAAAAGUAAAAUCCAGAAAAAAAAAAAUACAAUAAACAGCUCAAGCAAAGCCAAGGAAGCACCACUGAGGACUGAGAAACAGGGUAAAAUAAACAUGAUUCAAAAAAGAACAUAAAUGACAUACCAGAAAAGUCACAUUACAAUUUUCUUUAUGAAUCUAAUGACGGAAUUUUUCCUUGGCUCACCAUAUAUCAGAUAGACAGCUGUGUUCUUAAUCACCAAAUCGUGACCAAAAUUCACAAAAAUCUCCACCUUGUCACCUGAUCCUAAACUUGACAAUAUGUCAUGCCAAUCUUCAUCAUUAAAGGAAAUUACUGUGCCAUGAUUGUGUAUUUGGCAUGUGCACUUCGUGUAAUUAACAAUUAAGACAGUACUAAGUUCAGGUUCAAUGAUUUCGGAGGUUGAUAAAUAAACAACACACAAAGCCAUUCCCUUCACG
rnacentral:lncRNA from 1 species